rnacentral:misc_RNA from 1 species
CGGUAACACACACACGCACGCACAAGACCAGCUAGCUCUGGUUGGACCUAACACAUGCAAUAGUGACCAGACCAAUCAUGGAGUGCCUGGAAAUGCAGCGCAUGCACCGCAAGGGAAAUGGAAAACCUGCACUGCUGGCUGCCGCGGAGCAGAGCAGACAGGGACCCCCUCGGGCCUCGGCUCCAUGCUGCAUCUGCACUGCGCCAAUCCAUUGGUUUCGCUGCCCGCCGAUGCUGCUGCUGGCUGCUUCCGCCGCCUGGGUCCUAGCUGCUGCCUGGAGCUCCAGGCUCUAUGCUCUCCGGUGGGCGGCCGGACCGACCGCCUGCCAGCGACGGCGUGGAGCCGGGACGACGGGAGGAGCGGGAGCCUCGAUCCCCUCUCGCGUCGUCGUCCGUCCGGGACUCGACUGAACUGAAAGUCUGAAACCAUGUGCGCCACAUGUCCCCUGUCGGCGCGGCCAGGAACAGCGGCACGUUACCCAGUGGGAAGGAAAUCUGAAUGGCC